rnacentral:rRNA from 1 species
GACGAACGCUGGCGGCGUGCCUAAUACAUGCAAGUCGAACGAAGCUUUUUUAACUGGUGCUUGCACCGACUUAAACAACUGAGUGGCGAACGGGUGAGUAACACGUGGGUAACCUGCCCCAAAGCGGGGGAUAACAUUUGGAAACAGAUGCUAAUACCGCAUAACCACAGAAACCACAUGGUUUCUGUGUCAAAGAUGGUUUCGGCUAUCACUUUGGGAUGGACCCGCGGCGUAUUAGCUAGUUGGUAAGGUAAUGGCUUACCAAGGCAAUGGUACGUAGCCGAACUGAGAGGUUGAUCGGCCACAUUGGGACUGAGACACGGCCCAAACUCCUACGGGGGGCAGCAGUAGGGAAUCUUCCACAAUGGACGAAAGUCUGAUGGAGCAACGCCGCGUGAGUGAAGAAGGUUUUCGGAUCGUAAAACUCUGUUGUCAGAGAAGAACGUGUGCGAGAGUAACUGUUCGUGCAGUGACGGUAUCAGGCCAGAAAGCCACGGCUAACUACGUGCCAGCAGCCGCGGUAA